UACGGAGGGUGCAAGCGUUAUCCGGAUUUAUUGGGUUUAAAGGGUCCGUAGGCGGACUUAUAAGUCAGUGGUGAAAGCCUGUCGCUUAACGAUAGAACUGCCAUUGAUACUGUAAGUCUUGAGUAUAUUUGAGGUAGCUGGAAUAAGUAGUGUAGCGGUGAAAUGCAUAGAUAUUACUUAGAACACCAAUUGCGAAGGCAGGUUACCAAGAUAUAACUGACGCUGAGGGACGAAAGCGUGGGGAGCGAACAGGAUUAGAAACCCUCGUAGUCC
rnacentral:rRNA from 1 species